rnacentral:rRNA from 1 species
AAAUUGAAGAGUUUGAUCAUGGCUCAGAUUGAACGCUGGCGGCAGGCCUAACACAUGCAAGUCGAACGGUAACAGGAAGCAGCUUGCUGCUUCGCUGACGAGUGGCGGACGGGUGAGUAAUGUCUGGGGAACUGCCUGAUGGAGGGGGAUAACUACUGGAAACGGUGGCUAAUACCGCAUAACGUCGCAAGACCAAAGAGGGGGACCUUCGGGCCUCUUGCCAUCAGAUGUGCCCAGAUGGGAUUAGCU